rnacentral:rRNA from 1 species
CCCCUUAGAUGAUUUGGGCUGCACGCGCGCUACACUGACCCUAACAAUGAACAACUGUCUGGCCUGAGAUGGCUGGGUAGCCUUUUCAACCCAUGUCAUGAUUGGGCUAGAUUUUUGUAAGACUUGGUCUCUAACGAGGAAUCCCUAGUAUGCGUGAAUCAUCAAUCCAUGCAGAUUAUGUCCCUGCCCUUUGUACACACCGCCCGUCGCUCCUACUGAUUGGGUGAUCCGGUGAGCUGUUCGGCCAUAGCAAUGUUUCUUGAGCAGGGCAAUGAAUGUUUCGCAAACCUUGCCACUUAGAGGAAGGAGAAGUCGUAACA